rnacentral:rRNA from 1 species
CCGGUUGAUCCCGCCGGAGGUCACUGCUAUCGGGGUUCGAUUAAGCCAUGCGAGUUGAGAGGGUUUAGACCCUCAGCGGACUGCUCAGUAACACGUGGAUAACCUGCCCUAUGGUGGAGAAUAACCCCGGGAAACUGGGGAUAAUACUCCAUAGAUUAGAGAUACUGGAAUGUUCUUUAAUCGAAAGUUGAGGCGCCAUAGGAUGGAUCUGCGGUCGAUUAGGUUGUUGUUGGGGUAACGGCCCAACAAGCCUGUAAUCGAUACGGGUUGUGGGAGCAAGAGCCCGGAGAUGGAAUCUGAGACACGAUUCCAGGCCCUACGGGGCGCAGCAGGCGCGAAAACUUUACAAUGCAGGAAACUGUGAUAAGGGAACCCCGAGUGCCCGUAUACGCGGGCUGUCCAGGUGUUUAAAAAGCAUCUGAAGGAAGGGCCGGGCAAGACCGGUGCCAGCCGCCGCGGUAAUACCGGCGGCUCGAGUGGUGGCCACUAUUAUUGGGCUUAAAGCGUCCGUAGCUGGACUCUUAAGUCUCUUGGGAAAUCCGCCGGCUUAACCGACGGGCGUCUAAGAGAUACUGGGAGUCUAGGGACCGGGAGAGGUGAGAGGUACUCCGGGGGUAGGAGUGAAAUCCUGUAAUCCCCGGGGGACCACCGAUGGCGAAGGCAUCUCACCAGAACGGCUCCGACAGUGAGGGACGAAAGCUGGGGGAGCGAACCGGAUUAGAUACCCGGGUAGUCCCAGCCGUAAACUAUGCGCGUUAGGUGUACUGGUGACCACGAGUCACUGGGGUGCCGAAGGGAAACCGUGAAACGUGCCGCCUGGGAAGUACGGUCGCAAGGCUGAAACUUAAAGGAAUUGGCGGGGGAACACCACAACGGGUGGAGCCUGCGGUUUAAUUGGAUUCAACGCCGGAAAUCUCU